rnacentral:rRNA from 1 species
ACAGCAGUCGCCGCGGUAAUACGUAGGGUGCAAGCGUUAAUCGGAAUUACUGGGCGUAAAGCGUGCGUAGGCGGCUAAUUGAGUCGGAUGUGAAAUCCCCGAGCUUAACUUGGGAAUUGCAUUCGAUACUGGUUAGCUAGAGUGUGGGAGAGGAUGGUAGAAUUCCAGGUGUAGCGGUGAAAUGCGUAGAGAUCUGGAGGAAUACCGAUGGCGAAGGCAGCCAUCUGGCCUAACACUGACGCUGAGGUACGAAAGCAUGGGGAGCAAACAGGAUUAGAUACCCGCGUAGUCCCUGUCUCUUAUAC